ACCUACGGGGCGCAGCAGUAGGGAAUCUUCCACAAUGGACGAAAGUCUGAUGGAGCAACGCCGCGUGAGUGAAGAAGGGUUUCGGCUCGUAAAGCUCUGUUGGUAGUGAAGAAAGAUAGAGGUAGUAACUGGCCUUUAUUUGACGGUAAUUACUUAGAAAGUCACGGCUAACUACGUGCCAGCAGCCGCGGUAAUACGUAGGUGGCAAGCGUUUUCCGGAUUUAUUGGGCGGAAAGCGAGGGCCGGCGGUUCAAAAA
rnacentral:rRNA from 1 species